rnacentral:rRNA from 1 species
GACGAACGCUGGCGGCGUGCCUAAUACAUGCAAGUGGGACGCAAGGAAACACACUGUGCUUGCACACCGUGUUUUCUUGAGUCGCGAACGGGUGAGUAACGCGUAGGUAACCUGCCUAUUAGCGGGGGAUAACUAUUGGAAACGAUAGCUAAUACCGCAUAAUAUUAAUUAUUGCAUGAUAAUUGAUUGAAAGAUGCAAGCGCAUCACUAGUAGAUGGACCUGCGUUGUAUUAGCUAGUUGGUAAGGUAAGAGCUUACCAAGGCGACGAUACAUAGCCGACCUGAGAGGGUGAUCGGCCACACUGGAACUGAGACACGGCCCAGACUCCUACGGGAGGCAGCAGUAGGGAAUCUUCGGCAAUGGACGAAAGUCUGACCGAGCAACGCCGCGUGAGUGAAGAAGGUUUUCGGAUCGUAAAGCUCUGUUGUAAGUCAAGAACGUGUGUGAGAGUGGAAAGUUCACACAGUGACGGUAGCUUACCAGAAAGGGACGGCUAACUACGUG